rnacentral:rRNA from 1 species
CAGUCGCCGCGGGAAUACGUAGGGUGCAAGCGUUAAUCGGAAUUACUGGGCGUAAAGCGUGCGCAGGCGGUUUGUUAAGACAGAUGUGAAAUCCACGGGCUCAACCUGGGAACUGCAUUUGUGACUGGCAAGCUAGAGUCUGGCAGAAGGGGGUGGAAUUCCGCGUGUAGCAGUGAAAUGCGUAGAUAUGCGGAGGAACACCGAUGGCGAAGGCAGCCCCCUGGGCCAACACUGACGCUCAUGCACGAAAGCGUGGGGAGCAAACAGGAUUAGAUACCCCGGUAGUCCCUGUCUCUUAUAC